AACGACUCUCGGCAACGGAUAUCUCGGCUCUCGCAUCGAUGAAGAACGUAGCGAAAUGCGAUACUUGGUGUGAAUUGCAGAAUCCCGUGAACCAUCGAGUCUUUGAACGCAAGUUGCGCCCGAAGCCUCGGCUGAGGGCACGUCUGCCUGGGCG
rnacentral:rRNA from 1 species